rnacentral:rRNA from 1 species
CCUACGGGAGGCAGCAGUGGGGAAUAUUGGGCAAUGGGCGCAAGCCUGACCCAGCAACGCCGCGUGAAGGAAGAAGGCUUUCGGGUUGUAAACUUCUUUUAUCAGGGACGAAGCAAGUGACGGUACCUGAGGAAUAAGCCACGGCUAACUACGUGCCAGCAGCCGCGGUAAUACGUAGGUGGCAAGCGUUAUCCGGAUUUACUGGGUGUAAAGGGCGUGUAGGCGGGAGUGCAAGUCAGAUGUGAAAACUACGGGCUCAACCCAUAGCCUGCAUUUGAAACUGUACUUCUUGAGUGCUGGAGAGGCAAUCGGAAUUCCGAGUGUAGCGGUGAAAUGCGUAGAUAUUAGGAGGAACACCAGUGGCGAAGGCGGAUUGCUGGACAGUAACUGACGCUGAGGCGCGAAAGCGUGGGGAGCAAACAGGAUUAGAUACCCUUGUAGUC